UAAAGAGCUCGUAGGUGGUAUGUCGCGUUGUUCGUGAAAUCUCACGGCUUAACUGUGAGCGUGCGGGCGAUACGGGCAGACUAGAGUACUGCAGGGGAGACUGGAAUUCCUGGUGUAGCGGUGGAAUGCGCAGAUAUCAGGAGGAACACCGGUGGCGAAGGCGGGUCUCUGGGCAGUAACUGACGCUGAGGAGCGAAAGCGUGGGGAGCGAACAGGAUUAGAUACCCUGGUAGUCCACGCCGUAAACGGUGGGUACUAGGUGUGGGUUUCCUUCCUUGGGAUCCGUGCCGUAGCUAACGCAUUAAGUACCCCGCCUGGGGAGUACGGCCGCAAGGCUAAAGCUCAAAGGAAUUGACGGGGGCCCGCACAAGCGGCGGAGCAUGUGGAUUAAUUCGAUGCAACGCGAAGAACCUUACCUGGGUUUGACAUGCACAGGACGCGUCUAGAGAUAGGCGUUCCCUUGUGGCCUGUGUGCAGGUGGUGCAUGGCUGUCGUCAGCUCGUGUCGUGAGAUGUUGGGUUAAGUCCCGCAACGAGCGCAACCCUUGUCUCAUGUUGCCAGCGGGUAAUGCCGGGGACUCGUGAGAGACUGCCGGGGUCAACUCGGAGGAAGGUGGGGAUGACGUCAAGUCAUCAUGCCCCUUAUGUCCAGGGCUUCACACAUGCUACAAUGGCCGGUACAAAGGGCUGCGAUGCCGUAAGGUUAAGCGAAUCCUUUUAAAGCCGGUCUCAGUUCGGAUUGGGGUCUGCAACUCGACCCCAUGAAGUCGGAGU
rnacentral:rRNA from 1 species